UAGAGCCCAUGCUCUUCAAUAGUAUGUAAUAUCAUUCUGCUCAAAACCCUUCAACUUUGGCUGCUUAUUAGAAUUACCUGCAAGUUUUUGAAAAUCCUAAUGCCUUGGCUGGAUACCCCCAGACCAAUUAAAUCAGAAACUCUAGAGAUGGGAUCCAGGCAUCAGUACAUUUUCAAAUAUUCCCAGAUAAUUCCAGUGGUCAGCCAAUGCAAUCCCACGUCACUGAAAGUAAAAAUCAAAGCCCUAGAAAGACAAGCAGGCCUCACCACCCCUCUUACCUAAUACCCCCCUCACCUCACUAAUCUGGCCAUCAGACUCCUACUAUGCCAGACAAGGUUCCCACUCAGGGCCUUUUUAACUCAAAUGUCAGUGAAGGCUUCCCUUGAUACACUAUCUAAAACUGCAAAAGCUCCAAACUGCCCUACUACUUCCCACCUCCCUUCUCUGCUUUAUAUUCUUCUCUUUAGCAUUUACAGCUAACAAUAUCAUUUACUUACUUAUCUAUUUCUUGUUUCCCCACACUGGAAUGUAGUAUGCUCCAUACAGCAGAUACUUUUUUCUAAUUUCUACUGUUUCUCUAAUGCCUAAAACAGUGGCUGGCACAUGAAGGGCACUCAGGACCUAUUUGUUCAAUGAAAUAUUAAGGAACCCAUAAUUACCGCAACCAAUUUUAAUGCUCAAGUUUCCAGAACGAAAGCUUCUUUUCCUCAUCAGACAAGCAUAUAUCAUUUAGCAGACAUAACUGACUGAUUUGUCUAGAUGAUGGAAGAAAAAAGGUUCAAACACUUUAUUUCUAUUUGGAUUUAUAUUUUUAGUAAAGUUAGUAUUAGGCAAAAACAGAUAUAUUAAAACCUCCCCAAAAUUUAUCCUUCAGCUUAUGUUUUAAGGUAUAGUUAGAUCAUACAAGCAGUCAUAAACUAACAUAUGCACAGUUAAUACUUCAAUCAGGAAUCAGGAAGAAAGCCAAAAAAAUUUUUUUUUUAAUUCUGGAAGUGACAUAAGAAAGAAAAAUUAAAUUCUGCAUAGUGAGACCCCAUCAGGCCCACAUCUGAUUUCACUGUAACCAGAUGCUGAGUGGGACUAGUCUUGUUGUGACCAUAUUGCUGACAAACACAGAGCUGAGGAUAUAGACAUCAAGGAUCAAACACCUGUGGAAUCCAACCAGCACUGACACCUGUUAGCACACACACACCCCUCGGGGCUCUGGUACCCUGCCCAUUACUCCACUCUACACAAGCAGCUGAAAAAAGAGAGGGGGAAAAUCACAAGUCUUCGAAGUCUUCAAGGAGAACACAGGGAAAGGAAGGGAGCAUUUACCCCAAAACAGUAGUGGGAACCCUCCAAGAGGAACAUUCACCAAGAUAAGCAGUGUCUACAAGGAGAAGAGACUGGCAUCUCAUCCUCCAGGUCGAUGUCUUCUUAUCAAAUAAACUGAGUGGCUGAUACUGUGCCUAUUUGAGCAGGGGAACCAAAAAAAAAAAAAAACUGAUGAGAAAUGGCAGAGCACAGAAAAGGGGCAGACAUAAGCAGCCUGCCUGCCACCAUCUGGCAUCACAAGAAAUUGAAUUUCUAGGGGUCUGCAUGGAAACACAGAAGGUAGGUGGAUCUGAGCUAUCUCCCUGUUACCAAAAACUCUGGCUACAGAUAGAAGAGAUCUCCAACCCACCUCACCCCCAACAUACUCAUGGGAACUAGGGGUGGACUAACAGAACAGGAAUAAGAAGGUAGAAGUGUAGGUUAGAAAAGGUUACCCACAGCAAAUUUCAUGUCCAGGAACAGUAUGCAGUGGGGAGUCUCCCUGUAAGACCUCACCAAAAAUUCCAGUUUGGACUCUGAUCAGUGGACACAAUGGCUUGUCAUGUUAAUCAAAAGAGGGCUUUAACAGCACCAGGUAAUAAAUACUAGCCUUGUUACACUUUUCUUAUUCCUGUCCAAGGAGACCCAAGGAGGAAAGGGAAAGAGGUAACAGGCACAUACCACAAUCCCUCACCAUUCCAAGUGCUUCAAGCAGUAAGUGACCUGACACUGAGGUAAGGGAUGAAAAGAGCUUCAGACUGAAUUAGAGAUUGAAGAUUUAAACUGAAACAGAUUAGACUGGAGCUUUUAGCUGUGAAUGAUAGAAAAGCUAUCAUUUGCCCAUGAUGUCAUGAGGCAGGGCAAGAGGGGAAAAAAGAGGAAGAGCCUACAAAUCAUAGCUGAAAGCAAUGAAUGGUGAAAAAAUAAAGCUGUAUAAUGUUUGUUCUCACCAACCAACUGCUCAAUAACCUGAAGAUUUAUGGAGCAGCAUUAUUGCCCUUAGUAAUGAAAGGGAACACCUGACAUGGAAAUUCCCAUGGGGGAUUUACUACUGUACCAGGUAAGAUGCUACACUAGAAGUCCUCUGAGAUCACUUUCAAUUCUAAGUGCCUGUGACUAUCCUUUCUUCAAGAAGAGGGCAAAUUGAAUACAGAACCCAGAGUUCCAUAGUUAAAACUAUGAAAGGCUAGGCUGUGUAAAAAGUAAUACCACAACUUUUUGGAGAAUAAAACUAUCAGACUGACAAGUCUGAUGAGGGUUCAUUGUGGGAAAAAAUAUUUAAGACUUAUAAAUUAAAAAACAUUUAAGACUAUAAGUUAUUUAAAUGUUAAAAAAAAUCCUAAAUGAUUCUUUUACAUUCAGCAGAAAUUCCAAUUCAAAGGCUAAUGUAAAAACUCCCAAAACACAAUCUUCCUGCAUUAAAGCAAUUCAACUACUCAAAAGGCUUACCAAAAUAAACAGCAAACCUAUGUUUGCUUAAGUAUCUUCUAGAAAUUAUAAACUCACAUUUUCUUUAUCUCAUAGCAGCUACUAGAAAAAAAUAUUGCACUUCAAAUGGUUUAAUGUUACUCAUUAUGCAUAACAGUCCUGUUGCUGUAACAAAUACUAACAGGAAUUUUUACUUUUAAAUUUAAAAAUCCCAUAUUUUUAUGUUUCUAAAAAUAAUUAAGAUUAUAGACAAGCAUCUAAAGCCACCAAGUUUCUGCCCUAAAAAUCCUUUCUGAUACCAUGUCAUUAAAUUUUCAAAUGCUGUGUAGUUAUAAAUGGUCAAGAAAUUAAAACUAAUUCUAAUAUUUAUCUCCUACUGAAGCCAUUUUAUUGUAUCACUGCCAAUCUGAAAUAAGAGGAGAAUCAUCUUGAAAUUUAAAAUCAGAUUUUAUUAUUACCAAAAAUAAAAUGCUCAAGCAUGUGAAAAAGUAUUAUUAGUAUGCUACUCAGCUCACAGCUGAGGCAGUUGCUGCUAUAGGACAUGAAAUUUUCUAUCUAAUAAAAUCAGAGUGUAACUAUUGUCACAUCUGAAUAACUAUUACAUUCUGUCAGAAAACUAUUAAUUUCCCCAUUCUUAAAUGACAGAGCUAUUUAAACAAGAACAACUAUUCAAUAUUAAACAAUUAUUUCAAUGUCACAGUCUGAAUUAAGUUAUGUUAACGAAUUACUUCACAGCUUUCAUUCUGUGUACAAAUUAUCACACAGUCAAAGUAACUAUGGGUUUUGCAGUAUGACUAUAAGAAUUUUCAGGCUUAAAUAAGUAUUUUUUAAAGCUGCAUUAAAUGUCUUUAGAGAAAAAGCUUCUAUAAAAAUAUAAAAUGUUUCCAUCUUUCCCAAACACUUUUCUAGAAGUAUUCAAUAUCAUCACAUCCUGUAUUAACAACCAAUACACCAGUAUUGCCUUCACUGGCUGUUUAAAGAAAAUAACCCAGUGUUCUUCUUAAUGUUCUUAAACACUUCUAAAAAGGUCUUUCCGGCUUAUGAACUCAUGGCAAUUUCCUAACAAUUGUAUACUUAUCCUGUCUUACUGUCUCUUCUGGUCUAUGACAAACUCAAAUUUACACACCACCUCUGUUUCCUAUUUUGCUACAUUGCUUAAACUGGAAAAUACAAAGAUACAACAAACCUGCUACUUCUCUCCCCAAAGCAACAAUAAAAAUACUACCUAACAAGAUAAAGCGGUUUCAAUACAUAUAAAUCACAUCUUUCUUAAUGUCACAAAAGUUACUGACUGCUUACUACAAAGGGCAAAUUCGCCUUACACAUACACUUUUCAAGGGAAACCUGUCAAUGAAUACACUGUAGGGUUUAUAGCACUAAAAAAUUAACUAUUAACUCAAAUUCUGCUAAGUUUAAAUACUCUUGUUUAAAUAUAUAUGUAUUCUAAAAUGUAAUUUCCCUUGGGAAUUUCUGUCCAAGAUAAGGACUAAUUAAACUCUAUUCGGGGAAUAUUUUUUGUCACAAGUGUAUUAACAUGAAAAUUUGAGUAUGAAAAAUAGGAAUUUUAGUCGGAAUCAACCUUACUAUUUGAAAUAACAGUUUAAGUUCUCCACAUUAAGUGAAGAAAAAUGUAGUUUUGCAAAAUGAUUUUUCAAGUUUUUCUCUGAAUCACAUCAAGCUUAUCCAAAUUUUGCUGUAAAGUAUUUCAAUGGCAUUAAACUAACAUAGAAAGUAUGUAAACUGAGUGCUUGGGAGGAAAUAAAGCAGAUUGAUCAGUAGUUCUAAGAUAAAGGACAAUGGUAUAAACUUCAUAGUGAACUAUUUGUUCCAGCCUUUAAACACACAGGAAAUAAGAUUUUCUAGCUAGAAAACUAAUUCACAAAGGCAGUGACUUCAUCAAAGCAAAGAGUAUCUUAUUAAAACAGACAACCAUCAAUCGUAAAAAAGAGAAGACAAGUAUUUUAAGAUUGGAAGGUGAAACAGAAGAGGGAAAUGGCACAAACUGCCUGAAUACUUUUUCCUUAAACCUCUUGGAUCUGCUUCCAAACAGAACAUGAAAUGAAAUCGAGUUUCCUUAUUUCUGUGUCCAGCCGACGGCAGAUGCUCUGCUUUGGGUCACAGCCUAAGGAGGAUUCUAUCAAAGGCAAUAAACACUAUAAAGCACAAGCCCUCUUUCAUUGUGACUUUCCCCUCUUAUGGUCUACCCAGAAGGGUCAAUAGAAAGCAUCUGAAACCACAAAUCACUCAGGACAGCCCCAAAGCGGGGCGGCUGGCUGCUCGCCUCAAAGCUCCAAGACCUGGGUCCUGGUCGCCAUUCUGGUCCUACCUACGUGACCUCGGGCGAGUCAUCUUCAACUGUUGCACUGGCCACCUGCACUAUUAAGGUGCGAAGGUGUAGCACUAAUACUGCAUGAUUCUAUGAUAAAGGGCGGUGUCGACUUAUGACUGCGGGUCCUAGAGCGAAAGCGCAUCAAAAUAUGAGAAAACGAUGCCGAGGGCGGUUGAGUCCCCGUAGGCACAGCCCUGGAGUGCAGCCACUCCGACAGGCGUCGCCCGCCGGGAAUCCCCGGACAGCUGGCCGGCGCAGGGCGUCCAGGAGGAGGGCGCGACUCUACUUUUUAGCAGAGCCACUGAGUAGCUGCUCGUCGGGGACCGCCACCGCCGCUGGCCUCCCGCCCUCCACUGCCGGACGCUGGCGACCGCUGAGGUCAGGAAAACAAUAAAGGAGCCGCGGGAAGAGGACGCCGCCCCCUCCCGCCGCCCCGGAGCUCGCGCGCGCAGAGGCCCUCACCGUACUCUGACUACAACCACGGUCCCUGUCUCACUUCCUAUGUGAAGAUGUACAAGAAACAAAUCAAUAUCCAGUGACAGGACAAGCUGUACACCGACAAGAAGAGAAAACACAAGGUUAGACAUCUGGGCACUCAGCCUGGUCUCCUGACUCGAUUCUGUUUAUGGGGCAGAAAAUCAGAUUUGGAAUUUGUCUCUACUAGGAUCUUAAAGGAAACUUCGAUAUUAUGGCAUCUGAAUCAGAGAAUGUUUCCUGAACCCCAUAAGCUGGUGGAGAUGAAAACACCUUGCAAACUGCAUGGAAUGUUUCCAUCCUGGCUGUUUCAGACUGCUCUUCUUCAACAUCUCCAAAAUGAUUGUUCUGUCAUCUUUUGAGAAACCUUAGCUGUGUAACCUUGCAGACACCUACCUUCUGGAGGCCACAUUUCUUCAUCUGUAUAAUGCCCCAAAGGUUGUUUAAUAUUGAGAGCCACAUUUACAGACAAUGAGGGAAGCGAGACAAGGGACUCAACGGCCCAAAGACACACAGCAAGCUAAUCCCAGGGUUACUCUGACGUUUCAGUAGCACCAGAACCUGUUAGCACCCUUCUGCGUGGAAGGCUCAGGAUCAGCCAGUAAAUGUGGCGACCAAAAUAAAACAAAACAAAGCACUCUGCUUUUCCUCCAGCCCUUUUUUGGAUGGAGAGGUUUAUUACAUAACAGUGCUUUCCAUGUUAUUUAAAAAAAAAAAGUAUGUGGAAUAUUCCCGUGUUGAAAUUACAGUCUGGGAGCAAACCAGGAACAUUCAGGACCCACAGAUGGCACUGAGGAAUGGUGGAAUAUUCCAUGAAUCCUUGUCAUCUGAAGAGAAGGGAGAGGAGUCUAAAUUCAAGAAUCUGAAAUUUACCUUUAAAACCUCAUUGUCAUCAUCAUCAUCCUGCCUGUGUGCCUAAAGCAUUCUGGGUUUCAUUCAAAAUAUUUACGGGGCUCCUUCUACAUGCUUACAUGCCGCCCCUUGGGUCCCCAGAUAGACAUGAGCCCUUUGACAACACAAAGCAAAGCAGCCCAGAGAAGUCAUGCAAUUGAUCCAAAGUCACACAGAAAAUUACUGAGCCCUUGUUACCUCUCUAAUAUUUGACUUUUCACCCCUUGUGAAUACUUCAUAUAUCCUUUCCCUGCUUAUUUUUUCCUCUUAACAAGGAUCACUUUCCCACAUGUUAUAUAUU